GUCCUCGUAGUUAAAUGGAUAUAACCGGCCCCUCCUAAGGGUCAAUUACUGGUUCGAUUCCAGUCGAGGACACCA
rnacentral:tRNA from 2 species